UUAGCCAAUAUUUUAUUGAAAUAAUUCCAGAUAGCUGAGACUGAUUAGCAAAAGCCUGGAUCCCCAGGAAUAUUUUGUCAUAUAUUGCUUUUGCAGUGUCUCGCAGUAACCUUUUUAGCACGUCUUAAAACUGUCAAGAUCUGUUGUCUCUGAUGGCAUCUUACAGAUAUUCUCCGUCCAACUUGUUGCCAGUGUCUCUCUCACUAGCUGUGAGGUUGUUGUAGUUCUGACUACACCGUCAAUUUUAAUAAAUAUGAUUUCUGCUCCUAACAGACCGGCACCUUAGCUGCUGGCGGGAGAAGAGGCCCAGAAGCAGAUUUACAGGCUAUCUUUCAGGCAUUCAGAUCUCGUAGUGGAGGGUGUGGUAUAAGAACCUGAAUAGAAUAGGAUUCCAAUUCUUUGUCUGAGCCUAAAAACCUGUUGAUUUAGCAUAACAAAUGGUUUUUUUUAAUACAAUUUUUACUGUCUGCUCAGCUACUAUUUUUCAUAUUUAAAUAUUUUGGUUGUUUUAGAAAAAGGUUUACAGUGACCUGCAACGGGAAAUCAUAUAUUUGGGACCUUCCUUCCUUUGUGACAUAUAAAGUAGAUCUGAAAGGUUUUAUUUAAAUUUCAACUUUUUUUUCCUUUUUUAAAAUUUUGUUAACAUUAGAAAUAUCAGGUCUCUUCUUCCCUGUUCUGCUGGAAGAGUAUAUGCAACAGGGAGGAACCAAUGCAAAUAUAAUAGCACAAGAGUAUGAAAAUAUAACAGUUGAGUAGGGAAGGGAUUUUUAGUCAGUUUUGAACACCCAUUUAAUUCAAACUUGAUACAUGCUUAGGGUAAAAAGCUGAAGCUUCAGUCACCCUCACCCCUUCAAUUGAGGCUGAAAAAAGAACUGGAACAGGAGUUUAAUUUAUCAAGAGUCCUCUGGUUUAAAACGUUGCAGACAACAUUUGAUGUUCUGUAGGGGAAAAAAACAAUCAGAAAAAAUCUUUCCAAAUCUCUUUGUCAUCUCUGUUGUAUGAGCACUUCAUAAGUAUUAAUGGACUUAUCCUCACAUCACUGGAGUGAGCUGGGGAAGUAUUAUCACCAUUUUACAAAUGAGGAACUGAGGUACAGGAAUGGAAAAAUUUGCCCGAGACAACCCAAGAAAUCUAUGGUAGAGCCAGGAAUGGAAGCAGAUCCCAUGAGUCUCAGUCUAGCACCUUAACCACAAGACCAUCCUUCUUCAGUCCUGCUUUGUAUGGCUUCUGUUUUCAAUAAUUGUUGUACAGCCCUAGAGCCUGGGAAAUAGGUACUUAGAUAUUUGUUGCUCUAAAUAUUUUACAAAUCACCGUAAAACAGUAAAAGGCCCAAGCACAAUUUUUCUUCUGCUGGUUACCUUCUAAAAAUUACACAGACAAGAUAAUGACUUUAAGAGCUAUUGACAGCACAACAAAAUCAUUUGAGGACAUUUUUUAUGUAUAAGAAGUAGUUUAAUAAUGUGCAUAACAGACACUGUAGAGUAACAGCCUGUUACAAUUUGUUUUCCAACUUGUUUAGAACUCAAAACAGGCAGUUGACUUCACAAACUCAAUGUAGUGCAGAGUGGCCAAGGGAUUCAGCUGUAAAAAUCAGGACUUUUUGUGGGAAAAAUGGGACCACGAUUACAAUGAAAAGUUCUUUAAUAAAGUGAAAUCCAUUCUCCUGGGCUCUAAUGCACCAAAUCAAAAACUCUAUUCGUGAUGAUAAUAUCUUUAUCCAUUUUCUUCUAGUGCCCUGUCCAUGCUUCCUCACUGAGGAGUUAAAUAAUGGAUGGUUCAUUAUUUCAGGAAAGAUUACAAAAUAUAAGACAUUGGAAGACUUGGUGGACUUUCAUAAACAUAGUUCUAUUAGACCUUACAAUGAACUGUUAAUCCAACUAUGUGGAUAGGAGAGUGAUUAAAAUACUGAUUAUGAAUAAUUGUUUUCUCACAUGGUUAUUUUAAAUAAUGAUAUGAGUUGUGCAAAUCUCUUAGUGGCUUUGCUCCCUGAGAAUCUGACUGAAACCAGUGGCUGCAUUUCAGGAUUCACGCUAGCACAGCAAAACUAUUCCAGGAAACAGAACAAUAAUGCAACUUAAUCUUCCAUCAGAUCAGGAAGCUCCCCCACUCCCACCCAGGACAGUGGCAUCCAAAUGAUUCUUCAACAUUAGUGACAAAGAACCUUCUUCAACACAAACUGAUUGUCCUAGCUGCAGUUUGAAUGGACUUCAUGCUCCAGUUACAGAAAAAAUGAAGUCUGAGUCAAAUAUAUCUAGUAAGAUAGAUUUAAUAUGUGUAAUUAGACUAUCAAAUUUCAAGUUCUCGUUUAAAGCUUUUUGUAUUUACAACAUGCAAACACAACAAACUAUUGAUAAAACAAUCUGAAUUGAGCUAUAAAUGGAGAAAACAUCAAAACUGAUGGAAAACAAUCUAUAAUGGAUUAGGAAGAAUAUACUAGGAUAUUUAAGGAGGAUCAUGGAUUAAGAUUGAAUUUACCUUUAGAUACAAUAAAAGAUGCGAAUUCGUGUCCUCUAUAUAUUUUUUGUAACAUCUUAAAGCAUUAACCUUCAGCAGCAUCUGUGGAGCAAUUCCACUUAAUCUUGGAGGAUUUCUCUAGCACUAGAAAAAACUAAGGAUGGCUUUUAAAGUGGAAUAGUCAGAUAAAGACUUGAUAGUAGUGUACCAGGUAGGAUACUGUAUUUGCCUAACACAUUGCUGGAAAGUUAUACACCUCUACCCUGAUAUAACGUGACCCAAUAUAACACAGGUUUGCAAACAACGCGGUAAAGCAGCAGAUCAGCGCAUCAGCUCCUAGCCACAGCGCUCUGCUUCUCGCCACCAGUGAGUGUGGGGAGACUGGGGAAAGGACACACCUGCAGUGGGAAGCGGAGCGCACUGCUGGGAGCUGGUGGAGUGGAGCGGGCUGGGGAUGGGCUGCUCCGCUUCCUCUGCUGCUGGUAGGUGAUGGACCUUCCCCCCCACCCCAGCGACAUGGCUGGGGCCGGCCACAGUGCUCUGCUUCCCGCCGCAGGUGAGUAUGUGGGGGGGGGGGGCAUCCUUUCCCCAACCUCCCUGCAUUCACCAGCAGAAGCACAGCACCGUGGCCAGGAGCUUGCGGAGUGGAGCGGGUUGGGGCCUACCUGCUCUGCUUCCCGCCGCUGCUGCUGAGUACCUGUCAGGUGGAUGAGGGUGUGAAUAGGGGUCAGGGAAGUCAGGGGACAGGGAGCAGGAGGGUUGGGUGGAGGUGGAGUCCUGGGAGUGAUUAGGGAUGGGGGUCUUUGGAGGGGGAGGUCAGGGGACAAGGAGCAGAGGGUCCAAAGUAAGUUCAAUAUAACGCGGUCUCACCUAUAGCGCAGUAAGAUUUUUUGGUUCCGGAGAACUGCGUUAUAUCGGGGUAGAGGUGUAUAUUUUUUGUACGUUCUUUUUAGGGCCUGGCUCACUCUGAACGACAAAAAAUAGCUAAUUCUGAAAAUGACAGCAUGUGGUGCUACAUGUAUUCUCCAUUACUGCAUUACAGAUCAGAUCUGCUCAGGCUGUAAAUCAAAACAAGACUUUUUUAAAAGAUAUUUUAUUGGCCAAAAAAAACUUCUGCUAAAUUACAAAGGGAAAUCUUGAUGAAUUGUAUCUUCUAAAGAUUUAAACAAGACAAAACAAGACUUUUCUCCCUUGCUCUUCAGUGUCUGAAAAUCCUUAUUUGGUCCGCUUUAUUUAUCUCUUUCAUAUGAGCAGUAACCUCAAGCAAAAGGUAAUGACAUAUUGCAGACUCAAGUUGCAGUUCUCAUCUCUCUUUCACCAGAUUCAGAUUCGAAUGUGAAAUGUACUAUUUACACAAAAGAAAGAAAAUAACUUGUGUGGCUUUUCAUGUGUAGAUCUAAAAACACUUCACUAAGGCUGAAUAAACUAAACUAACAGCUGAAAGCCAAGUGCUAGGACUGUGUUAUAAGUCGAUGAUUGUUUCAUAGACACAUUUUUUUGGUAUCUGGUAUUCUUAUGUAACUGAAACACUUCAUAAGAUAAGACAGAAGUCAGAAACUGAGUCUGGAGAGAAAAGUAUAAUUGAGUGUAUGCUGAAUAGUAAUCUUUAUGAAUGGUAAUUCAAUGUAUUGUGUGACAGAGAUCCAGUCAUCCUUAACUUGGGUACACUUUAUUUUAUUUUCUGGUUUGGGGCUAAGAAUUUAAAAUGCUGAAGUUUGAAGAAUCUUAUGAUACAAUUAAAAAUUCUUUAAUUUUAA